UGGAGCAUGUGGUUUAAUUCGAAGCAACGCGAAGACCUUACCAGGUCUUGACAUCCCGAUGCUAUUCUAGAGAUAGAAAGUUACUUCGGUACAUCGGUGACAGGUGGUGCAUGGUUGUCGUCAGCUCGUGUCGUGAGAUGUUGGGUUAAGUCCCGCAACGAGCGCAACCCCUAUUGUUAGUUGCCAUCAUUCAGUUGGGCACUCUAGCGAGACUGCCGGUAAUAAACCGGAGGAAGUGGGGAUGACGUCAAAUCAUCAUGCCCCUUAUGACCUGGGCUACACACGUGCUACAAUGGUUGGUACAACGAGUUGCGAGUCGGUGACGGCGAGCUAAUCUCUUAAAGCCAAUCUCAGUUCGGAUUGUAGGCUGCAACUCGCCUACAUGAAGUCGGAAUCGCUAGUAAUCGCGGAUCAGCACGCCGCGGUCGAAUACGUUCCCGGGCCUU
rnacentral:rRNA from 1 species